rnacentral:rRNA from 1 species
ACUCAAAGGAAUUGACGGGGGCUCACACAAGCGGUGGAGCAUGUGGCUUAAUUCGAGGCUACGCGAAGAACCUUAUCCUGGGCUUGACAUGUCCGCAAGGGUGUAGACGUAGGGGACGGAAACGCACCCCCACAGGUACCCAAUCCUGAGCUACACACAGGUGCUGCAUGGCUGUCGUCAGCUCGUGUCGUGAGAUGUCGGGUUAAGUCCCAUAACGAGCGAAACCCCUGUCUCCAGUUGCUAACCCGCAAGGGAGGACUCUGGAGAGACUGCCGGUGUCAAACCGGAGGAAGGUGGGGAUGACGUCAAGUCCUCAUGGCCUUUAUGCCCAGGGCUGCACACGUGCUACAAUGGCGCGCACAGAGGGAAGCAAACGCGCGAGCGGGAGCAAAACCCAAAAAACGCGCCCCAGUUCAGAUUGAAGGCUGCAACUCGCCUUCAUGAAGUUGGAAUCGCUAGUAAUCGCGGGUCAGCAACACCGCGGUGAAUGUGUUCCUGAGCCUUGCACACACCGCCCGU